UAAAAUUCACCCAAGCAGUAGGUGAUAAUACAGACAGAAUAUUAUAGGGAAAAUACGGGGUCUGGCCAUGACUGUACGAAAAUUUCUCAAUAUGGAGGAAGGAGGUGAAAUCAGAGCUGAUGGGGGAGAGAGAGGGCAGGAUUCAGAGGACAAGAAGGAACGUCCUCCAACUUUGAGUCCAGCAUUCUCCUGGCCAGGAGCCUUUCUAUUUUAUGUCUAGGAUCUCAUUUUAAAGAGGAAGUCUUCUGCACAAAAUGCCAGCCUAGAUAGAUAAUGUUUCCCAAAGGGGGAGAAUACUGUAGUUAAGGGCAUGGAGUUUGGACUCUGACACACCUGAGUUUUAAUCCUAGCUCUGCUCCUUAUUUGCUGCAUGACCUUGAACAAGUAACUUACCUUCUCUGAAUCAUGGUUACUCAUCUGGAAAAAAAAAAAAUGGAGAUAAUAUCUACCUUCACUUGGAAUUAAAGGUGAGACUCUCAUGAAUCAGUAGGGAGGGGAAGGCAGCUCCUGCCCUGGACCCUCCUCAGAGGAUUAUCACGCAUCAGACUAGUCGAUUGUAAACCAGUGACAGGGACAUCAUGGACUCGGGUGCAAAGGGGAGUUUGGAAGUGAGGCAGAUCCUGAGGAGCUGAACCCAGCCUAUUCUCUCUCUCUCUCUCUCUCUUUUUUUUUUUUUUUUAAAUCCCAUGUGCUGGAAGGUCUUUGUUUGUUCCGUAUUCUUCCUAGCACUUUUCCUUCCAGAUUGAAGAUUUUUUUGACACAGUGAUUUUCCUCGUGUGACUAGAUAGGAGAAUUUCCAAUUUUCAGACAGGAUGAUACCUAAUGACUGUUGGACCUGGUACUGGUGCCUGAAGAAGUUUCUUCUCUGGUGGAUGUGACUGUGAUAUCACUUCCCUACUUAUGUUCCACUAUAUGACAAGAGGAUUUUGCAGAUGUGAUCAAGGUUCCAAGCCAGCUGGUUCUGAGUUAAUCAAGCAGGAGAUUAUCUUGGGUGGACCUAACCUAAACUGACCAGCCUUUUAUAAGCAGAGAAUUUCUCUCCCAGGCCUGGGAGGAAGAAAGCAGACAGAUAGGUUGUGAACUGCCUGUGAAGAGAAGCAGCCCCUAGGAGAUUUGAGUGGUGCCAGGCAACAGCUGGCAAGAAAAUGGGGACACAGUUAUACACCACAAGGAAAUGGAUUGUGUCAACAGUUUGAAUCAGCUUGAGCCCACACUUGGGUGCAGCCUUGUGAGAUGGCAGCAGGGGAUCCAGCUAAACCAUGUCCAGACCCCUGACCAGUAGAAAAAACGGGGGAUAAUACACUCAUGCCAUUUGAAGCCUCUACAUUUAUGCUAAGUUGUUACACAAUAAGAGAAAACUAAUAUACAAACUAUCUAAAAUUGUUUCGUGAAUUAUGAUAUAAACCAAUAAAACAUAAAUAACCAAUUGUGAUCACCCUAAGGAGUGGUAUGGCGGCCAUGCUUCUACCUCAUAUAGAAUGUAUGUGAAACAAAGAACAGGGAAAAACAAAACCAUACAACUCUUUUU